AUGCCUACAAGCUUUUCACAUAUUGCUCUUUGCUUAGUUACUUUGCCGUUGCCACUGUUACAAUUACUACAAAACUGCUACUAUUACUUUUGCUACUGUUACCGUUACUUCCAUACUACUUUGCUACUAAAUACUUUGCUGCAGAUACUAAGUUAUCCAGGUGUGGUUGAAUUGACAACUCAACUGCUAACACUUGAGAAUAUUCUUUGGCUCCCCUUGUGUCGACUCAAUAAAUUUGGGUUGAAUACUCUACCCUUGAAAACCGUUGCGAUCCCCCAUACUUGUGGGUUUAUCAUCAAUCAAGCCUUGUUAGCACGCCAAGCAUGGAGACUUUUAACUAAACCGGACAGCUUGUGUGCUCAGUUAUUAAAGGCAGGGUACUACCCAUUGGGCAAGUUGGAGGAUACAGUAUUUACAGGGAAUGCAUCAUCGUCAUGGCAAGCUAUCAGUUAUGGCUUGGAACUAUUAAACAAGGGGCUAGUGUGGAGAGUUGGCAAUGGCAGGAGUAUACGUGUCUGGCGGGAUAAUUGGAUCCCUAGGCCUUAUUCAUAUAAGCCAAUCUCCCCCCAGGGAAGAUGUCGUAUUCACUUUGUCUCUGACCUGUUAAACUAGAAUGGAUCGUGGAAUUAUGGGCUACUGAAUGAAUACUUUAUUAACGCGGAUGUACAAGAAAUAGCAAAGAUCAGAGCAUCCCCGAGGCUAGAUGAUGAUGUGAUAGCGUGGGGCCCUGGUAAAUAUGGUGUAUUCACUGUUAAAUCAGCAUAUAAUUUGGCCUUUGAGGAGGCACACCGUGACACUGAUGUAUCUUCAAAUUCGUCACCUGCGGGGCAAAGGAAAUGUUUGGACUUCAUCUGGAAAAGUUGGGCGCCGCCAUCGGUGCAUAACUUUGCUUGGAGGUUAGCUACUAACUCACUUCCUACUUGGCAGAGGAAGCAUAAAAUUGGCCUUGAAGUCGUAAGCAGGUGUCCGGUUUGUGGGGUGGAGAAGGAAGACAAUUACCAUCCUUUCGUUAAUUGCCAGUUCGGUCGGGACCUUUACCUCGCCAUGGCCAAGGUAUGGAUGAUCCCAGAGAUAGAAUCUCUACAGAACAACGGAAAGGAGUGGCUUCUCCAUGUACUAGCACCGCUGAAUGAUGUGGGGUGGAUGAUGACCAUGAUGAUAUUUUGGAGGAGUUGGUUUGUCCGGAAUGCAGUGUUGUAUUGCAAACCUGCACCAUCUAUGGAGGCUUCAGUACGAUUCCUUUGAAGCUACGUCGAUACCCUGAUUGGAAUCAAGCUGAACCCACGGGCAGAUCUCGCAAAAGGCAAAUCUCCCAUAGUCUAUGAAAAACCGACGAGCUGCGAGCAUCACCAAUGUGCCAGAUGAAAGAGGAUGGUGCCUCCCGUGCUGGGUUGGAACAAACUGAACACUGAUGGAUCUUUUGUUUCUUCCGAGAUUACCGGGGCUGGAAUGAUCUUGCGUGAUCACCAUGGGGUCAUUAACUUCUCAGCGUGUAGAGCCUUGUUUUCUUGUAGAGAUGCACUGCAGGCGGAGCUCUGUGCAUACAUGGAAGUGAUCUCAAUGACACUUCAAUGGAACGAUCUUCCUAUAGUGGUGGAGAUGGAUUCUCUGGAGGUUGUUACCAUGAUUUCAUGUGAGGUUGUUGAUCGCUCAAUCUACGCAUCCAUCAUGAAGGAGAUAAAGUACUUGUUGUCUCUUAGACAAACUUGUAUUACUCAUGUUGUUAGGUCUCAAAAUAAAGCUAGCGAUAGUUUAGCAUUGUUUGCUAGAUGUCAAGGCAGGACCAUGACCUGGCUCGGGGCUGGUCCGGAUGAGGUGAUGGAGAUUGUUUCUCUUGAUUGUAAGGACAUCUUGAAUGAGUAA
rnacentral:rRNA from 1 species